UUCCAUCGCUAAGUCAAGGCCUCUUCCUGCGACUUCGGUCGUGCAUGACUCCGGUCGUGCUUGUUUCAAUGGAAUUCCGUCUGUUACAGCUUUGGUAUAUUAACACUGGCCCGCACCGAAUUUCGUUAUGAACCUAGGUUGACUUGCUUUCGUCUUGAAAGCCUGUCGCAAGGGCCAGCUGUGUUUUGUUUUUGAGUAGAAGUCUGCUUCUGCCUUUUUUUGGUGGCAUUGUGGCAGAAUUUCUUAGUAACAUCCCACACAUUC
rnacentral:snoRNA from 1 species